UAUGUACAUGAUUACAACAUAAUGUUAAUGCAUUGGAUCCCAUUAGAACUCCACAGUUAAGUCUGCUUGGGCUAGAGUAGUAUUGGGAUGGGUGAUCACCUGGGAAGUCUUAGUAUUUUACAUGC
rnacentral:rRNA from 1 species